rnacentral:rRNA from 1 species
GGGCCCGCACAAGCGGUGGAGCAUGUGGUUUAAUUCGAUGAUACGCGAGGAACCUUACCAGGGUUUAAAUGCAGAACGACAGGGGUGGAAACACCCCCUUCUUCGGACGGACUGCAAGGUGCUGCAUGGUUGUCGUCAGCUCGUGCUGUGAAGUGUCGGGUUAAGUCCCAUAACGAGCGCAACCCCCAUUUCUAGUUGCCAGCGGUUCGGCCGGGGACUCUAGAGAAACUGCCAGCGUAAGCUGUGAGGAAGGUGGGGAUGACGUCAAAUCAUCACGGCCCUUACAUCCUGGGCCACACACGUGCUACAAUGGUGGGGACAACAGGUUGCCAACCCGCGAGGGUGAG